CUAUACGGAUAAUUGCUUGCCCUGGUGAUAAGAGAUGCAGAAAUUGCUUUCGGUUGACUCAAAGUUAUUGUAGUAAAUGUUCAAUAACUCCAUUAUGCUCCAAUUGCCGUAGUCAUCAUUUAUAUGAUUGUAACACAUUUUCGCUUAUGUCUAAAGAAGUGCAGUUCGAAAAUUUGCGUAAAAAUUCAGAAUGUUACUUCGAAAAAAUAUGCCGAUGUCAAGCAUCCAAAGUAGUAUUAAAAAGUGCCAGCAAAACAAAACGGAACUAAAGAGAUGCCGCCUCGAUUUGCGUUUUAAGCAAAAAGUUUUCAUCGUUUUGAUUAUUUACACCGAUAAUUAUUCAGGUCUGAAACAGGAGAUUGCACCAAUAUUAAGAAAGUCCGGCGCUAUGAUAGAUACGAAUAACUCGUUUGAAGAGUAUGGUCUUAUAGAAGCAACCGUCAGU